UACAGAGGUGGCAAGCGUUGUUCGGAAUUACUGGGCGUAAAGGGCGCGUAGGCGGCCAUCUAAGUCAGACGUGAAAGCCCCCGGCUCAACUGGGGAGGGUCACGCGAUACUGAUCGACUCGAAGGCAGGAGAGGGUAGUGGAAUUCCCGGUGUAGUGGUGAAAUGCGUAGAUAUCGGGAGGAACACCAGUGGCGAAGGCGACUACCUGGCCUGUUCUUGACGCUGAGGCGCGAAAGCUAGGGGAGCAAACGGG
rnacentral:rRNA from 1 species